rnacentral:rRNA from 1 species
CUUAGCGAUCGUAGCCGGCGAGGGGAAGAAUAGAGAAGCAACAGACCUUAGGACAGUCAGUGAAAGGGGAGCUCGAGAGGGCAAGGAUAGAAGAAGAGAAGAGCACAUCCCAAUGAUUAGGACGAUCCCAAGCAGCCUCGAGACGACAAAAAAGAGGAGGGAGCCGAUACAACGAGCAAAGACGAGAGACGAGAUAAAAGUACGAUAAACACAACAUCCAAAACUUCCAUAACUACAAAACUUCGACAAACACAUACGUCCUAGUCAUUGACGCCUAAAAGAACCUAGUUCCUAAAUGAAACCGCUUAGACGAGGAAAAAACAUUACCAAACGGGACAAACAACGACAGGACCACGAGGUACGAAAAGCAAACACGGUCGACUACUUCAGGAACUUCAAAAACUACAACAGGAACUACUAAAAAACGAAAUGCUCCUACCACCAAAGUCUUCUACGUCGUAGAUUUUAUUUUAAGUCUGUUUUAUAUGACCUCUACCCCGUCGUUUAUUACUAUAUGGAAACGGACUAGUCUUCGUUAAACUAGAGGUCCAAAGAAACAAGAAGCAAAAAAAACAAGGACUACUGUCUAGACACUAGACCCAUACUUUAACUCCCAGUAGGUAAAGAAUCAUCUAGACACUAGACACAUACUUAGUCUCCUUGAUUUGAAACCCUUUAGCUUCCUCUUCAUAUAACGGUCGUUAUUAGGACACCUCUUCAAUGGGUCUUUAUAGUCUUCUGUCCUCCUCUAGACUCGAAACAAAGACGAAGGUACCACCGCCGACACACCUACAGCUCCUUGUUUCGUCUCCCCCGUUCCUCCUUCUGGAUCACUCGACAUGCAAAUAACCUAGAAAUCAAAUCGCCCAAAAGUCCGGGAAAAAGAAAGACCCGAUCUGUCUAUCGUCUUCUUUCUUUGUCUUUGAUGACUCGGAAAAACGUAAUAACCCAACAGCUGACUAGGGUCAAAACCCAGUCAGUCAAAAGAUAACCUAACCAAACAAACAUGAAAACGUUGUUAGCUGACUGGGGAUAGAACACAGCCAGCUAACUGGAGAUCGGUUAGGGAAAGGUAGGAAGCUAAGGGAGAACAAAAGGAAAAAAAAGAGUAAAAGAAGAUGCCGUCUUUACUGCCCAGUACGAUGUCGUAAGGUUGUAGGGUGUUAAAAAUGGCCCGGUCGUGUAACUCCUGUUUGCGCAUAUAUAUAUAUGGACACCUUUUUGUGCACUUACAGCAAAAAAAGGAAGUUUUACUCCUAUUUGGGAGUUGGAAACGUAGUUAACUACGUGAAUCAGUAUAUAAUCAUAAUCCCAGACAUAUCCUGUGUAGAUCUACACUAUAUUAAUACA